rnacentral:rRNA from 1 species
UACGGGGGGAGCAAGCGUUGUUCGGAUUUACUGGGCGUAAAGGGCGCGUAGGCGGCCAGCACAAGUCAGUUGUGAAAUCUCCGAGCUUAACUCGGAAAGGUCAACUGAUACUGUGCGGCUAGAGUGCGGAAGGGGCAACUGGAAUUCUUGGUGUAGCGGUGAAAUGCGUAGAUAAUCGAAGAAGGAACACCUGCGGCGAAGGCGGGUUGCUGGGCCGACACGUGACGCUGAGGCGCGAAAGCCAGGGGAGCGAACGGG